CACUAAGUUUAUGGGCCUCAGCCUUUAUGCAAACUAGGUGUCAUAUUAUGUAUAGAGUCAGACUCCCUAUUCUCUAUUGAACCAUAGUUGCGAGUCUUGUAGACCACUUUUCCCCUCCACAAUCAUGAUGUCGUCAUCCUCUUCCUCCCCCAUCAAGAUCUUAGUGGUAGAGAGGGGGAAGGUGAUGACAUCAUGAUUCUAGAGGGUGCACUUAUGCGCGACAUCUCAUUGCAAGUAGAUUCUUGAAGUUAUGAUUGUUGUCGUUAUACCUUGAAGACUGAAGAGAGCCACAAGGUGUUAUGACUAGACUAGGAGCGCCCUCCUAGUGAGGAAACACUUGGGUAUGGUGUAUGAUUGUACAUUUCUGAUUGUUGUGAACCAAAUUGCGGCUUGGAUUCAAGCACACCGACCUUCUUAAGGGUUAAGGGUGGUGGUUGGCUGAUUUCUUUUUGAUCUAGUUUGUGGGGUUUUGGGCUUGCUUCUCUAGUAGCUUCUUGAUGGGUUGGACUGUAUCGGUAUUUUAUUGUUUUUUAUGUGCUUGGGGUUUUCCCUCUUGUAGUCUUUUGGUCAUGAUUAUUGUGGGUGUCUUCUCUAGGCCUUGAUUAAUAUUGUGGGUGUCUUUACCCUUCUAUUUUCUAUGAUUGGUUGUAUAGUCGGGUCUUAAAGGUGUGUUUGUGCGUUUUCACUAGGAUGACCUUGGUUAGUUUUUUUUUUUUAAUUAUGUAUUCUUGUCUAUGACUUCAUAUAUACUAUUUUUGCUUUCAAAAAAAAAAUUAACUUUUUGAACUUGUGGCAAUUUAAAAUCAUCAAAAUUUGUAUC